CCUAAGAUCCAAGCAAGUGGUUCA
rnacentral:piRNA from 1 species